UACGAAGGGGGCUAGCGUUGCUCGGAAUUACUGGGCGUAAGGGCGCGUAGGCGGCUCUGUUAGUCAGGCGUGAAAGUCCUGGGCUCAACCUGGGAACUGCGCUUGAUACGGCAGGGCUAGAGGAUGGAAGAGGGUCGCGGAAUUCCCAGUGUAGAGGUGAAAUUCGUAGAUAUUGGGAAGAACACCCGUGGCGAAGGCGGCUCUCUGGGACGGUACUGACGCGUGAGACGAC
rnacentral:rRNA from 1 species